rnacentral:rRNA from 2 species
UCUUGUAUUUAAUUUUGAACGAGUGGCGGACGGGUGAGUAACACGUGGGUAACCUGCCCUUAAGUGGGGGAUAACAUUUGGAAACAGAUGCUAAUACCGCAUAAAUCCAAGAACCGCAUGGUUCUUGGCUGAAAGAUGGCGUAAGCUAUCGCUUUUGGAUGGACCCGCGGCGUAUUAGCUAGUUGGUGAGGUAACGGCUCACCAAGGCAAUGAUACGUAGCCGAACUGAGAGGUUGAUCGGCCACAUUGGGACUGAGACACGGCCCAAACUCCUACGGGAGGCAGCAGUAGGGAAUCUUCCACAAUGGACGCAAGUCUGAUGGAGCAACGCCGCGUGAGUGAAGAAGGCUUUCGGGUCGUAAAACUCUGUUGUUGGAGAAGAAUGGUCGGCAGAGUAACUGUUGUCGGCGUGACGGUAUCCAACCAGAAAGCCACGGCUAACUACGUGCCAGCAGCCGCGGUAAUACGUAGGUGGCAAGCGUUAUCCGGAUUUAUUGGGCGUAAAGCGAGCGCAGGCGGUUUUUUAAGUCUGAUGUGAAAG